AAGUGCUUUUGCAUUGGAAGAUUCACCCAGUUUCUCGUACCUCCAUUAUCUCAUCUUUUGCGAGCUAGUGGAAUGAUUGAAAGUGGGAAGAAGUUCCUUUGUUUGAUGCACCCCAGGUCUGAUUAUUUAGCUAUCAACGAUCUCAGAGGUUAGGCGAAAUCUUUUUUUUUUUUUUCUAAAAACAAAAAUUUUGUUAUAGCAUAUAUUCGGAGAUGUAUCAACAAUUUUGACUGCUUAUGCUUUUGAGACUAUUUGGGAGGGGGCGGGAAAGAAAAAAGAAAUAGAAAAAAAGAGAAAUCAAAGUUAUUGAAAAGUUAUUCUUUAGUGGUUUAAAUGUGGGAUAACAUUAAUCAUAAUUUAGGAAUGUAUUUUAUAAUUUUAUUUGUAAAUAGAAAAAAAAAAAAAAAACAUUUCUGUUUUGUUGUAA